rnacentral:misc_RNA from 1 species
GUUUAAAUUAUCAAAAUAUCUGCACUUCAGUGAAUGAAACAUUACCUAACAUUAUUAAAGGGUUCUAUAUUUCUAUUUAUGAUUACUAAAAACAAAUUAGCAGCUACUUCAAGCAAUCAGAACAGUGUAAUGGUCAUUGUAAAGGGGAUUGAAUUUCAGGAGAAAUUAAAUAAAUCAGUGGUACUAGAAUAGGAAAUUGAUGCAGACUUGGUGUCCAGUUGUUGUUAUUAU